rnacentral:rRNA from 1 species
CUUUACUGUAGCUUGGAAUUGAGUUCGGGUUUAUUUUGCGCAGUAUAGGUGGGAGGCUAAGAUAAUAAGCUUGAGGGUUUAUUGGAGCCAAUAGUGAGAUACCACUCUAAAUAAACUAGAAUUCUAACUUUGAUAGUCGUUAACCGGCCAAAGAACAGUUUCAGGUGGGCAGUUUGACUGGGGCGGUCGCCUCCUAAAAGGUAACGGAGGCGUGCAAAGGUUCCCUCAGGCUGGUCGGAAAUCAGUCGUAGAGUAUAAAGGCAUAAGGGAGCUUGACUGCAAGACCUACAAGUCGAGCAGAGACGAAAGUCGGCCUUAGUG